ensembl:snoRNA
AUCGAGGCUAGAGUCACACUUGGUUAUUGGCUAUUACCUUAGAGUGCUAGAGUCCUUGGAAAGUAACUGCUGACCUUGUUCACUGGCUAUGGCCCUCAUGGCACAGUCAGUCACCAGGUUAGUGACAUGC